AGGAAAGUCUUGAACGAGUCACACUCUUCUCGAUUCUGAGAUCAAACAGGCGUAUAUCAGGUCUCGAUAUGAGACUUGUCCAUUCUCCACUAAUAACCCAUCAUCCAAUUCCUGGGCCUCAAAUCUACAUUUUGAAGAAGGCAAGCAUCAUGAAUACCUAGGCCGAAAUUCAAAAGCCCUAACCUUGAGUUUCUGGGAGAUAUGUUUGCAAUACUCUGCCAAAAUGUCGACAUAAUAAGAGAUGAACAUCUGGAUGGAUAGUGAUUUUUCCCCCAUCUUUUUCCAUACUCAGCAUAAGCCAAGAGCAACCCCGGAGGCCUAGCUGUUAUUCUUUGCCGUUCGCUUGAGCACUACCUGAGCAGGGGAAACCCCUCGACGUUUUAACCUCUUACCAAUGUCAUCUUGCAGACCAAGAAAGAAACAGAAUCGAACAGUAUGGGGCUCCUUUCCGCAGU
rnacentral:sRNA from 2 species